CGGCUAAGCCGUCGGGUGGAUGCCUUGGCUCGGGCGCCGAGGAAGGCCGUGGCAAGCUGCGAUAAGCCCGGGCGAGGCGCAUGCAGCCGUGGAACCCGGGAUCGCCGAAUGGGACCUCUCGCCGGGGCCGAAAGGUCCCGGCACUCCGGGGGGAAACCCCGGGCCCUCGUGGCCCGGGGGAGUACCCCCGGAGGGGGAACCCGCCGAACUGAAACAUCUUAGUAGGCGGAGGAAAAGAAAGCAACACGCGAUGCCGUGAGUAGGGGCGACCGAAAACGGCAGAGGGCAAACUGAACACCCGCCCGAAAGGGCGGGUGGAUGUGGGGUUGCAGGCCCGGGCCGCCUAUGUGGCCGUCUCCCCCGGAACGGCCGAAGUGCCCUGGAACGGGCCGCCGGAGAGGGUGACAGCCCCGUAGGCCGCCGGGGGACGGCCGCUGGCCCGGGCCUGAGUACCGUCGGUUGGAUAUCCGGCGGGAAUCUGGGGGACAUCGGCCCCCAACCCUAAAUACGUCCCGAGUCCGAUAGCGAACAAGUACCGUGAGGGAAAGGUGAAAAGNNNNNNNNNNNNNNNNNNNNNNNNNNNNNNNNNNNNNNNNNNNNNNNNNNNNNNNNNNNNNNGGAAAGGUGAAAAGAACCCCGGAAGGGGAGUGAAAAGAGCCUGAAACCCGACGGCGAUAGUCUGCCGGGGCCCGCAAGGGAUGAAGCCCCCCGAAGGAAACCCCGGUGACGGGGGAGUACGAGGGGGGCCGACCGGGGUCCCGGCGUUCGUUUUGAAACACGAGGCGGGGAGUCCGCGGCCGCGGCGAGUCUAAGGGGUUCAAACCCCGAAGGCGUAGGGAAACCGACACGCCCGCAGCCCGGCCGUUAGGCCGGGCCAGGGGCGGGGUCCUAAUAGGGCCCGCAGCCGCGGCCGCGGGACCCGAAACCGGCCGAUCUAGCCCGGGGCAGGGUGAAGCGGCCCUAAAGGGCCGUGGAGGCCCGCUAGGGGUGCUGUAGUGCAAAACGCUCCCGUGACCCCGGGCUAGGGGUGAAAGGCCAAUCGAGGCCGGAGACAGCUGGUUCCCCCCGAAACGGCCCGCAGGUCGGCCCGGCCGGAGGUAGGUGGCGGGGUAGAGCACUGAUUCCCCGGUUAGGGGCCGAGAGGCCCCGCCGGGGAGUCAAACUCCGAACCCGCCACCGCCGUAGAAGGCCGGAGUUGGGGCCGGCGGGUAAGCCGCCGGUCUGAGAGGGGAAUAACCCAGACCGGGGUUAAGGCCCCAAAGUGCCGGCUAAGUGUUAAAUAGAAAGGGAGUCCCCGGCCGAAGACAGCGGGGAGGUAGGCUUAGAAGCAGCCAUCCUUUAAAGAGUGCGUAACAGCUCACCCGUCGAGGUCGGGGGCCCCGAAAAUGGACGGGGCUGAAGCCGGCCGCCGAGACCCCGGGGCCGCGGGCCGAUGGCCCGCGGGCCGGUAGGGGGGCGCCCCGGCGGCUCAGAAGCCGGGCCGUGAGGUCCGGUGGAGCCGUCGGGGACGAGAAUCCCGCCGGUAGUAGCAGCAAAGCGGGGUGAGAAUCCCCGCCGCCGGAGGGGCCAGGGUUCCUCGGCAAUGUUCGUCAGCCGAGGGUAAGUCGGCCCUAAGGCCGGCGGUAACACCGACCGGCCGAAAGGGAAACGGGUUAAUAUUCCCGUACCGCGGGGGUACGCCCGGCAACGGGAAGCCCGGCGGCCGACGCCUCGGGGUAGGCCGGGCGGGGCUGUCGCCCCGUCCAACCGGUGAAGGCCGGGGAGUCCCGUAAUGGGGAGAACCGGCCGAAGCCGGGAAGGGCCGCCCGUUAUGGGCGGUCCGGCCGAUCCCCGGGGCCCGUGAAAAGGCCGCCGGGAAGGAUCCCCCGCGACCGUACCGAGAACCGACACAGGUGCCCCUGGGUGAGAAGCCUAAGGCGCGGCGGGGUAACCCGGCCGAGGGAAAUCGGCAAAUUGGCCCCGUAACUUCGGGAGAAGGGGUGCCCGCGGCCCUGACCCCGAGGGUCGAACCUCGGGGGAGGGGCCGCGGGUCGCAGUGACUAGGGGGGGCCGACUGUUUAAUAAAAACAUAGGUCCCGGCUAGCCCGAAAGGGCUGGUACCGGGGCCGACGCCUGCCCAGUGCCGGUACGUGAAGCCCGGGUACAACCGGGUGAAGCGCCGGUAAACGGCGGGGGUAACUAUAACCCUCUUAAGGUAGCGAAAUGCCUUGCCGGUUAAGUACCGGCUUGCAUGAAUGGCGUAACGAGCCCCCCACUGUCCCCGGCCGGGACCCGGUGAACCCGCCAUCCCCGUGCAGAGGCGGGGGACCCCCGGCGGGAAGCGAAGACCCCGUGGAGCUUUACCGCAGCCUGCCGUUGGGGCACGGCUGCGGGUGUAUAGCGUAGGUGGGAGCCGUUACUCAGGGGCGGCCGCCAGGCCGUCCCCGAGGCGCCCAUGGAACACCACCCUCCCGCGGCUGUGCCCCUAACCCGGGCCGAGAAGGCCCGGGGACAGCGGUUGGUGGGCGGUUUGGCUGGGGCGGCACGCCCCCGAGAAGGCAUCGGGGGCGCCCAAAGGUCGGCUCAGGCGGGNNNNNNNNNNNNNNNNNNNNNNNNNNNNNNNNNNNNNNNNNNNNNNNNNNNNNNNNNNNNNNNNNNNNNNNNNNNNNNNNNNNAAUCCGCCGUAGAGUGCAAGGGCAAAAGCCGGCCUGACUGGGUCCCGCACAAUAAGGGACCCAGGCGGGAAACCGUGGCCUAGCGAACCCCGGUGCCGCCCCGGUGGCGGCCCGGGAUGACAGAAAAGCUACCCCGGGGAUAACAGGGUGGUCGCGGGCAAGAGCCCACAUCGACCCCGCGGCUUGCUACCUCGAUGUCGGCUCUCCCCAUCCUGGCGGUGCAGCAGCCGCCAAGGGUGGGGUUGUUCGCCCAUUAAAGGGGAACGUGAGCUGGGUUUAGACCGUCGUGAGACAGGUCGGUCGCUAUCUGCCGGGGGUGUUGGCCGCCUGAGGGGAAGGACCGCCUAGUACGAGAGGAACGGCGGUCCGCGGCCUCUGGUGGACCGGCUGUCCGGCAGGGCAAGCCGGGUAGCUACGCCGUAUCCGAUAAGGGCUGAAAGCAUCCAGGCCCGAAGCGGUCCCCGAAAAUAGGCGGCCGUUGAGGCCUCGGGUAAAAGACCCGGUUGAUGGGGCGGGGGUGUAAGGCCCAAGGGGCCGUUGGGCC
rnacentral:rRNA from 1 species